AUGUUCCAUGAGCAGAACUUUGGAAGGGUACAUGACAAGGAAAAGUUUGAGAAGGAGUUGGCCAGGCUUAAGAGUGAGCAUGAAAGGGAGUUGGCCAAGCUUAGGACUGAAAAUGACAAGCUUUGCAUUGAGUACACCAAGCUUGUUGAUGAUGUAUCCAAAAUGUUUGAUUGGCAGGAUGGUAGGGUGGACAAGCAGGUGUACCAGAAACAAGUGGAGGAGGAAGAGCUUGAGAAGAAGAAGAAGGAGCUAGAGGAGAAAGCCAUGUUGGAGGUGCAGAUGGAAAAUCUCAAACUUGCAAAAGAGCAGAGGUGCAUUUUGCAGAGCCAAGCUGAUAUCAUCAGGAACACCAGGAAGGCUAUGAAGGAUGUUGAAGUUGACAGAGAUGUUCUUAAGAAGGAGAAGGCAAAGCUUGAGCUUGUUGUUGCUGAGCUGCUGAAAGAAGGGUAUGGCAGCAAGAAGAAGUUAGAGCAAAUCAAGGCCAUCCUUGAGUCUUGA
rnacentral:rRNA from 1 species